rnacentral:rRNA from 1 species
UACGAAGGGGGCUAGCGUUGUUCGGAUUUACUGGGCGUAAAGGGCGCGUAGGCGGGCUUAUAAGUCAGGGGUGAAAUCCCAAGGCUCAACCUUGGAACUGCCUUUGAUACUGUAGGUCUUGAGUUCGAGAGAGGUAAGUGGAACUGCGAGUGUAGAGGUGAAAUUCGUAGAUAUUCGCAAGAACACCAGUGGCGAAGGCGGCUUACUGGCUCGAUACUGACGCUGAGGCGCGAAAGCGUGGGGAGCAAACAG